ensembl:snRNA U6 U6 spliceosomal RNA
UUCCCACUUCAGCAGCAAAUAUACUAAAAUUGGAAUGAUACAGUGAAGAUUAGCAAGUCCCCUGCCCAAGGAUAACAAGAAAAUUAGUGAAGCAUUCCAUAUUUUG